CAACAUCUAUCAAAGAGAAUUUGAGCUGAAAUAUGGAAUAAGAAGCUGUUGGAGAAUGAAGCAAAAGAUUUCAGUUUUCUUCUGAUCCACAGUUGUUGACAGAAAUGUAAAAUGCUGGUUGGAGUCGGGGCAGGAAGGAGGGUUAUAGGGAGUGCUGUGUCAGGCGCAUGUUUAUUAGUAAGAAAUUGACCCGUACCAUUUUGAUGGAAGCAACUGUUUCUUUGUGCAACCAACUUCAGAAAAAUUCCAAUCUUUAACCCAUGCUUUUAAGGAGCCCAUGGAGAAGCUUUUGCCCAGGGCUUUACUGCUCUUCUUUCGCUUCAAAUGGAACACACAUUUUUUCUCUGGUUGUAAUUAUAGAAAGCAGGUGACUGCUUUUCUUCAGAGAAACAUCACAGUGAUGUUCUUUAAAUAGGUAUGUCUAUUGAAGAACUAAAAUAUUAAGCAGGAUGAAGAUUUACCUUUUUCUUCUGCCCUCUAAUUAGAUGUAUACAGUGUUGCAAUCCUGUAAUUAUAGCUUCUGAUUUUUGGCAUACAAAAUGUGGGCAAGUGUUUCAGCAUUCUUUUGUGCUGAAAUGUAGAGCCUGGGACACGGGCUCUUCCGUGUGUGUACAGCAUGACAUGAUUUCUGGGCAUCUUUGCUUUUCAUCUGAUUUCUUGUUUCUAUAAAGUUGGUGGGGAAAAAAAAAGUCUUUCAUUCGCUUCUUAAUUUGGGACUUAAUUUUUUCAAUAUAUUUCUUCUUUUUUUUUUAAUUAGCUACUCCAUAAUUGAUCAUAGGAAGAUCUCUUCUGGAUGAAGGAUAGAGCUCUAGCUGUAAUAGCACAUGCAUGGAGCUGUCAAAAGCAUUGAGUUUGGUGCCAUGUGCCUUAGUCUCCAGAUGAAGCAGUAGCAACAGGAAUUCAGGAUUGUGUGGGGUAGCUGAUGGGGGAUUCUGAGGCUCUGAAACAGGACAACCAACCAUGAAGGCAACUGACAUUCCUGCAACACUUAGGACUCACUUUAGAAUCACAGAAUCACCAAGGUUGGAAAAGCCCUCGAAGAUCAUCUGCUCCAGCGUUCCACCACUUUAGGAAGGAGCUGUUUUUUUUCUAAAGAUAAACUACUGUGUUUUUCAAAGACUUGAUGUCUCUCAAACACUGCAGAUUAACAGAACCAUAUUGCUUUAUUCGCGUCAAGGACAUCAUCAUCAGAGGUGGCAGAUAGCAGGAAUACGCAGCUGGAGGGACAGGAAGAAGAACUUGGUGAGAGCAAGUGAACAGGAACAGAAGUGAACAGUAAAGCUUUGAAGGUAACAGAGCGCUGGAACAGGAUGCCCAGAGAGGUUGUGGAGUCUUCUCCUCUGGAGAUAUUCAAAACCCACACAGAUGCUUUCCUGUGCAACCUACUGUAGGGAACCUGCUUCAGCAGGGGGGUUGAACUGACGAUCUCCAGAGUUCCCUUCCAACCCCCGUGAUUCUGUGACUGCAGGACUGUGUGAAGACUGUGUUAGAAAUGUGCUGGAGAUAGGUAGAGCGGCGAAAGAUAAGUAGUUUUUAACCAAAAAGGCAAAUUAUUAGCCUACGGGAACAAACCUUUCAGAAGUAUCUUGGAAUUUUAAUGUUCACAUACCUGCCUGUAACUGUCAGGUCUGCUGUGCUUACUGGGGGACAUUUGAGAGAGGUGUGCUCUACAGUAAAUCCCAGCUGUUGUUCAUGGGAAUGUGAAAAUUUCCUGCCUCAGUGAGCUGGGUAAGUUACUUCCACUGAUUUUUAAGAUUCUAAAUCUGCAAGAAAGGAAUACAAUUCUGCUUCACAGCAAUGUUUAGAGGAAUUCAUAGAUAAUAUUUGUAGAGUGCUUUGAGCUCCGGGUGCAAUAGAUACAAAGAUGGCACUUAUGGUCCACAUAUCGCUACAGAUAACCACUUAUUUCUUCAAAGAGAUGAAGUGACAACAGCCAUCUCAACCUAAGCAGGGAACAUUACAAGUCACCCCACAGCCUGGUCUCUACCCCUGCCUGAGCUUAAUGGCUCCUGCUUCAUGAAUAUGAUGCCCUUUUAUUCAUACGUCUUUGG
ensembl:lncRNA